AACAUAGAUAAAAUAUCACAAUUUUUAUUAAAAAGAUUAUUUUUCAAGAUAAUGAGGUCACGUGCGCAUAAAAUUUAUUGCGCCUAAAAUUCAUGAUAAUAAGCAGAAAUAAUUAUUUCAUUCCAUUUUUAAAAAGAAUGGAUUAUUUUUUGAGACAAUGGGGUCACUUACACACAAAACUUAUAAAAUAAAGAUCCUGGACGGAAAUAUCACUAUUUAUUAAAACCAGACUAUUUUUCAAGAAGACGAUGUCACUUACCCACAAUUAUUUGAGAGGGAGCUUCCGAUAAAAAAAUUCGGUUCGAGAGAGAAGUUCACUGUGUUUCGACCAGAGAGAGAGAGAGAUCUUCAAAUUUUCUGGAGUGGGAGUGCUCAUGUAACAAUCCUAAAUGUAACAAUCCUAAAAUUUCAAAAAAAAAAAAAAGAAGAGAAAAGAUGCUUUUAAAUAGGUGAUGGUCUGUUUGAGUAUGAUGGUCCUUGGGGACCAUCACUAUUUCAAAAAGUUUUACUUGGUUUAACUUUUGCUUGCCUGUUUUGCUUGCUUGCUUUUGCUUGCUGCUUGCAGCUGGCAACGUCCUUUAGCGGACGUGGUUUUCGUACGUUAAAAGCAGACUUUUAACACGACACCUCAGGUAUGAGGUAGAGCGUAAUAAAAUAAUAUAAUAAUACGUUAUAAGAAUUUAAAUAGGGGAGGUGAGCACUCCUACCCUAAAAAAUUUUGAGAUCUC
rnacentral:lncRNA from 1 species